AUUGGUUAGAGCGCGCGCUUGAUAAGCGUGAGGUCGGAAGUUCAAGUCUUCCCAGGCCCACCAUUUUGAUCGAGUGCGGAGCAUUCGUCUUCUGGUACGGGGCCAUAGCUCAGCUGGGAGAGCGCGUGCUUUGCAAGCAUGAGGUCGUCGGUUCGAUCCCGUCUGGCUCCACCAGAUGGUUUGAUCACCAACGGCGUUACCGUCGUCCGCGAAACAUCACUUCGCACUCAUUGGUCCGGAUGGACGGUGACGUGCGUGUUUUCUGACAUCGUAAAGAGGAGAUCGAUCCGAGUUUGGAUCAAGCGAAGCAAUUCGUCUGAACCAUUCAUUAUCUCCGGGAUCAUUUCGGCGCUCGCGCAUCGCAGUUCAUCGCAAGAUGAGUGGGGUGAGCGGGUUGUAAAUGAUCUCUUUUAGCGAAGCUUGACCGCCUCGCUAUCGGGCCGAUCUUACGAAGCAAGCUGGUCUUUCUAGUCAAUGUCCGGCUGCGCAAUCGCAUUCAUCGAGGAUGCGUGCCUGGGACUUCGGUCUUCGGGCAGUUGCGCAGACAACAUUCUGCCGAGUGUGUGGACAUUGAUAAUGAGAGCAAUCAAGUGCCUUAAGGGUGUUCGGUGGAUGCCUUGGCGCUGAGAGGCGAUGAAGGACGUGCUACGCUGCGAUAAGCCGUGGGGAGCUGCGAAGAAGCUUUGAUCCGCGGAUUUCCGA
rnacentral:misc_RNA from 1 species